AUUGAACGCUGGCGGCAGGCUUAAUACAUGCAAGUCGAGCGGGGUGAUGGUGCUUGCACUAUCACUUAGCGGCGGACGGGUGAGUAAUGCUUAGGAAUCUGCCUAUUAGUGGGGGACAACAUCUCGAAAGGGAUGCUAAUACCGCAUACGUUCUACGGGAGAAAGCAGGGGAUCACUUGUGACCUUGCGCUAAUAGAUGAGCCUAAGUCGGAUUAGCUAGUUGGUGGGGUAAAGGCCUACCAAGGCGACGAUCUGUAGCGGGUCUGAGAGGAUGAUCCGCCACACUGGGACUGAGACACGGCCCAGACUCCUACGGGAGGCAGCAGUGGGGAAUAUUGGACAAUGGGGGGAACCCUGAUCCAGCCAUGCCGCGUGUGUGAAGAAGGCCCUAUGGUUGUAAAGCACUUUAAGCGAGGAGGAGGCUCUUUUGGUUAAUACCCAAGAUGAGUGGACGUUACUCGCAGAAUAAGCACCGGCUAACUCUGUGCCAGCCGCCGCAGUAA
rnacentral:rRNA from 1 species